UUUCUUUUCUUUUACAUUCACCUUUACACAAAAUAAAUUCAAAACAAAUAAAUACAAAUUACAUUAAUUAAUUUAAAUUUUACAAAACAGUCCCUAAAAGUCCAGAAAUUGCAUUGAAGGACACUGUCGGAACUGCCUGAACUCGUGGCGGCGCGUGAACCCACGCGCCGCCGCAAACAUGCCGGAAACGGGCGGAUCUGCCCUAUUUCCUCCUCCUCCUCCCUUCUCUGCUGGUGGCAUCCUGCAAAACAAGAAAAAGGAAACGCAGGCAGUUCAUUUUAAUCCAUUUCUGUCCAGUUCUUGGAUUUUUCCUUUCUUCUCCAUUUUGGAUCUGCUUCUUUACAGAUCGGUUAUUUUCGUUUCCCCUUGUUCUCUGUUUUAGGCUGCCGGCCGAGUGACCAUAGGGCUGCUGGCGGCGUUCAUGGUGGCUCGCGGGGGGAAUUGCUGCGAUGGAAGAGGAAAUCGUGUGUCUGCCACCGGUUGAAGGAGAUGAUGCCAGCGUUGCCCCGGCGCUGAAUCUGUUCGGCCGUCGCUGCUGUGGAGGGAAACCGAAGGAGAAGCAGCCGUGGCUGAGGAGAUCGUGACCUGGAAGGCGCCGGAGCUGGAAGCUAUGGGAAAGAAGAGAAAAAUAAAUCAAACCCGCGGGGAAGAAGAGUUGUGGCUGGUUCUCCGUGGGGAAAGGAGAGUGGUGUUGUUGGUGGGUCUGUGUUGAUGACCGGGCUGUGGAGAAGGAAGGAAAAUGGAGAUGACGGUGGGGAAAUGGUCUGUCUUUGUUUCUGACAGAGGGGAAGUGAGCAGCGUCUUCUCUGGUUUUUGAAAGGUAGGGGAGGCCGUGACUUUUUUUCUUUUUUGCAGAGGGGAAGUCGGCUGGAAGGAGAAAGGGGAGAGUAUGGGUUUCAGCUGAUUUUGGCUUUUUAGCCGAGAGGAAGACUAAGGAGACGGGAAGAGGGCUGCCUUGGCUUCUCUGGUUUCGACUUUGAAGAUGAGAGAAAAUGUGGAAAUGGUGAUGGCUUGACUUGCUUUGUCAAGGCAAAAGGGGGAUUCGUCGUAGCCUUUUUUUUUAGGAGAAGUGAGAGCGGCUCUGUGUGCAGGCGGCUGUGCAAGGGCUGAGGAGAAAAAAAAUUAAAAGGGGAGCUGGCAGCUGUCAUCGGAGAAGAAGGAAAAAAUUUCCCAAAAAGGGGGGGGCCUCCCUGGCGGCUGUUUUCAGCAGGGAAGAAGAAAAGUUUAGUGUUUUAGGGUUCUCUCCUUUCCCCUAAAAUUACAAAAUGAACCCCCCCCACAAAAUGAGUUAAAAACUGCUAUUUAUAGGCAAAACAUUUUUUCGGGUUUCCAAAUCGGUCCCCAAUUUUUUUGUGUUCAAUUGACUUGGUAAAAAUUAAAUUUGAUCUUAAAAUUUUAAUCUUUUCAAUUCAGUCCAAAUUAAGCUCCCAAACUUAAUUUUUCACCAAUUAAGCCCCCAAAUUAAUUUGACCCAUUUAAAGUAUAAUCAAGUCCUUGCACUUAAUUAAAUCCUUCAAUUAGACCUAAAUUAAUUCUUAAACAUAAUUAAAAUUUAAUUUGGCCCAUGAUUAAAUCAAAUUGGCCCAUUAAAAAUUUAAUUAUGUCAUUGGACUUAAUUUUUAUGCAAAUUCAUCCAAUAAUCAUUUGAUUUGACCUUCGAAUAUGCAUUUAAUUUGACCUUCGAUUUUUGCCUAUUUUUGCAGUCUUUUUUUAUUGGAUUUCUCCGCAGUGCCAGCCUUUAUUUUAUUUUUUAUUUUUUUUAUUUUAAAAAAAGUGAAAUUUAGGGAAUAACCCAAAAUUGGGUUAUGACAGUUGCCCCCCUCUUUACAAUGCUUAUGAUAGAAAGUCUCGUAGGGGACUUUAGAUAGUAAGCGUUGUAAAGAAGAAAAAAUGAAGAUGUUUUUUUUUUUUUUUUUUUUAAAUUCAAAGAUUUUGAAAUGGUCGAAUUGUCAUGGGUGACCCACCCGGGUGAAAAACACGAAGAUGUUUUAAAGUGGUGAGAAAUACGAAGAUUUCUAAAAAUGGUUUUAUUGUUAUGGGCAACCGGCCCAGAUGAAAGGUUUUGAAAAAUACGAAGAUUUUUUCAAAUAGGUGAAAAAUGCAGAGAUUUUUCAAAGUGGUGAGAAAUGCAAAGAUUUCUCAAGAUGGUGAAAAAUUUUAGAGGUGGUGAGAAAUGCAAAGAUUUCUCAAAAUGAUGAAAAAUGCAAAGAUUUUUCAAAGUGGUUUUGUUGUAAUGGGCAAACGGCCCAAUUGAAAGGUUUUGAAAAAUACAAAGAUUUUUUCAAAGAGGCGAAAAAUGCAGAGAUUUUUCAAAGUGGUGAGAAAUACGAAGAUUUCUAAAAAUGGUUUUAUUGUUAUGGGCAACCGGCCCAGAUGAAAGGUUUUGAAAAAUACAAAGAUUUUUUCAAAUAGGUGAAAAAUGCAGAGAUUUUUCAAAGUGGUGAGAAAUGCAAAGAUUUCUCAAGAUGGUGAAAAAUUUUAGAGGUGGUGAGAAAUGCAAAGAUUUCUCAAAGUGGUGAAAAAUUCCAAGAUUUUUCAAAGUGGUGAGACAUACAAAGAUUUCUCAAAGUGGUGAAAAAUGCAGAGAUUUUUCAAAGGGGUGAAAAAUACAGAGAUUUUUCAAAGUGGUGAGAAAUGCAAAGAUUUCUCAAAGUGGUGAGAAAUGCAAAGAUUUCUCAAAGUGGUCUUGUUGUGAUGGGCAACCGGCCCAAGUGAAAAAGUUUGAGAGUGGGGAGAAAUGCAAGGAUUUCUCAAAAUUGGUGAAAAAUGUAAAGAUUUUUCAAGGUGAUGAAAAAUGCAGAGAUUUUUCAAAGUGGUUUUAUUGUUAUGGGCAACCGGCCCAAAUGGAAGAUGAAAAGAGUUUUGAAAGAAGUCUGAUUAUAAUGGGUGACCUGCCCGGGCAAAAAGAUAAAAUGUCUGAAAAGGACGACAUGAUAGGACUCGAUGGGGGAACGAGGGCUGAAGAGCGCACUCGAAAGGAGGUAGGGUUAGAAAAACACACUACCUAAGAGGUGAAUGCUCCAAGGCGCACUCUAAAGGAGGUAAAUAGGGCUAGAAAGCACACUACACAAGAGGUGAGGGCUCGAAGGAGCUCUCAAAAAGAGAGCAGGGUUGGAAAACACACUACCUAAGAGGUGAGGGCUCGAAGGAGCAUUCGAAAGGAGGUAAGGUUGGAAAACGCACUACCUAAAGUGGUGAGGGCUCAAAGGAGCAAUCAGAAGGAGGUAGGGUUAGAAAAAUACACUGCCUAAGAUGUGAGGGCUCGAAGGAGCAUUCAAAAGGAGGUAAGGUUGGAAAACGCACUACCUAAAAUAGUCGAAGGCUCAAAGGUGUACUAAAAAAGGAGGCAGGGUUGGAAAACACACUACCUAAAGGUGAUCGAGGGCUCAAAGGUGCACUCGAAAAGAGGUAAGGAGGUAAGGUUGGAAAACGCACUACCUAAGGUGGUUAAUGGCCCUAAGGCGCACUUAAAAGGAGAUAGGGUUGGAAAACACACUACCUAAAGUAGUUGAUGGCCCUAAAGCGCACUUAAAGAGAGGUAGGGUUAGAAAACAUGCACUACCUAAGAUGGGAGGGCUCGAAGGAGCUCUCAAAAGGAAGUAGGGUUAGAAAACACACUACCUAAAGGGGUUAGGGCUCGAAGGCACACUAAAAAAGAGGUAGGGUUAGAAAACACACUACCUAAAGUGGUCGAUGGCCCUAAGGCGCAUUUAAAAGGGAGAGGUAAGGUUAGAAAACACACUACCUAAAGGGGUUGUUAGCUUGAAGGCGCGCUAAAAAAGAGGCAGGGUUGGAAAACGCACUACCUAAGAUUAUUGGGGGCUCUAAAGCGCAUUUAAAAAGGAGAUAGGGUUAAAAACGCACUACCUAAGCGUUGAAGGCUCUAAGGCGCACUCAAAAGGGGAGGUAGGGUCAGAAAACACACUACCUAAGAUGGUUGGGGGCUCUAAAGCGCACUAAAAAAGGAGGUAUGGUUAGAAAACACAUUACCUAAGGGGUGAGGGCUAAAAGACGCCCUCAAAAGGAGGUAGGGUUGAAAAACACACUACCUAAAAGGUUAGGGCUCAAAGGCACACUAAAAAAGAGGUAGGGUUAGAAAACACACUACCUAAGGGGUGAGGGCUAAAAGACGCCCUCAGAAGGAGGUAGGGUUGGAAAACACACUACCUAAAAGGUUAGGGCUUCAGCAACUCGCUCAAAAAGAGGUGAUGGUGAGACACCGAUCUAUCAAGGAUGAAAGAAAUGCAUCAUGAUCAAUAUAUGCAUGUAUACUUACCUGAGAAGUAUAGGUCCCCUUUUCUUCAUCGAGUUCUCCUUUUCUCAAGAGUUUGAGUCUCUGAUAGUAAGCUUUGAUGGCUUUUGUCCCCUUGCUUACUCGAGAAAUAUCUUACAAUCUUGGCCUCUAGGAAAGUUGAUGUCAUCACUUCUUUGUUCUCCGCCCCUUUUAUCCCAAGGGUUGCCAAUUUUGCCCAAUAGUUUCUUCGAAAGGGAAUCAUGGAGCCAGCUCUACCAAAUGUUUUUGAUUGCCCCCUAGCUUGAUCAUGCCCCCAAGUAUUCAAUUCGGGUUUGGGGAUGAGGCUAUAUGAAGGAAGGUUUGGUUUUUGACAAGGAGCUGUUUUCAUGCAGAAUUUUUGGAAUUUCAAAGCUAUUCCAGACACAGAAAUCAUUUUGACAUCGAUUCAAAGCGAACUCAUUCUGAAGAAAUUCAAGUGAUUCCUAUGGAGAGGUUUUCAGAAGUGAUGAAAACUUUUUGUUUUGAUUUUGGUGAAAAAAUAUGAAGUGACAUUUGGUUGGUCACAAAAAGUUGAAAUUUCAAUGAAGUGACAUCUGGUUGGUCACAAAAGGUUUAAAUUUCAAUGAAGUGACAUCUGGUUGGUCACAAAAGGUUUAAAUUUCAAUGAAGUGACAUCUGAUUGGUCACAAAAGGUUUAAAUUUCAAUGAAGUGACAUCUGGUUGGUCACAAAAGGUUUGAAUUUCAAUGAAGUGACAUCUGGUUGGUCACAAAAGGUUUGAGUUUCAAUUUGAGGGUUAUUGAGAACCGUUUUCAAAGCAGUCAUUUUAUUUGCAUGAAUAAUGAUUUUAUUUCGCAUGAGAAAGCACUGCCUACCGAUCCAGAUUGCCUGCCUUUGAUCAGAAAGGGCUUCAUUAGGCACGUAAUGUAGGCUUGGGCUUUUGGCUAUGAAGAAAAUGAUAUAUAUAGGCUCAAAAGGUGUUUAAGGGACUUUAAGACUAAGGAUCACAAGUGCUUAUAUCCCAAACUCUUUUGUUCAUACAUUUCUGGACCUUGGAAUUGAUUUGUAAAAAUGUCCACGGUGCCCCCAGUGUUGGGCUUGGGCUCUUUCUCUUUGUUUUCUUCAUUUGAUUUUGAGCAUCAUUGCAUUGGCCUUUGUUUUUUGCUCAAAUUUUUGAUCCUUUGGAUUUUUUCAUGCCACCUAGCUUUGUAUGGGCACCUUUGAUGAUUGAGAUUUCUUUUAUGCCCCCUAUUGUUUGGGCACUUCAUCGUUGAAGACUUUUUCAUGCCCCCAAGAGUUAUUUGGGCACUUUCAAUCAUUAUGGAUUUUUAGCACUUGCCCCCCAGUGUAGGGUGUGAUCCUAGCCAAGGUUAUUUUUCAAGAAAAAUUUAUUAGGCUCAAAAGGGACUGCAAAUGAUAUAUUUCAGCCUUUGAAAGGAUUAUCAAAGAUGACCUUUCUCAUCUCAAAUGCAUGCAUUUAGGAUCGGUAAGCCUUGCUUUCAUGCGAUAUGCAAGUGAUUUCUCAUUAUUCAUGCAAUAAAACCCAGCUUUUGGAGUCACUUCAUGGUGUUUUUUUGGGUUUUCUAGGUGUAUGGUUACCUCUCUAAGGAAUCACCUGAAUUUCCAGAAUCGUUGUUUCGACAAACAUCAACAUGAUUUCUGUUUUGUACUAAACUUUGAAUUCCCAAAAAUCCUUAUGAAAACAUGGGUCCUGUUUUGUUUUGGGAAGAAAAGGGAAACACACCACAAGAUUUGGCGCGUGGUUUCAUGCUUAAAGUUACGCUCAAUGUGUUAUUUGCAUGAAACAACAAAAAAUGAAAGCAUGUGAAAACACAGAAAACACAUAUAUAACAAGAAAGGCUCAGGACAGGAAAGUCUUGUGGAAUUUUGAGCCAAAUUACCAACAAAAACUGGAUAGGUUGAAACAAAAAAAUCAAGUUUUGGAGGCAUGAUCAAACAGAGGUAGUUAUUGGCAGAGCAAGAACAGCUCUUCUGCAACGGUGAUGCAAUUCCCCUUCAGAAUUGUGUUGAGGCUUUUGAUCAUGUGGCCCCUAAUUUCUUCGGGUUGAGUUGGGGCUGAACAAAAAUACUGGCAUUGGAAGACCUUCACUAGAGCAUCUAUGUCUCGAGUAAGCUAAGUGAGGAGCCACACUGCUUUCAGAGACCUAACUCUUGAAAUGGAUGCUGCGGUGAGCACGCUCUUUGUCUCCAAUGUUUUUUCUCUCAAAAUCAGGUUGUAGACUCGGAGGGACCUACUUAUUCUGGUGCAUGCAUGACAAAAUGUAUGAACAUGAAGUCUAUAUGAUGAACUCGCCCUUCGAGGUACAACAUGGUCGUAACUCUUGUAUGAUGGAACAAGAAUUGAUUUUUGCCCAAACUCUACAAUGAAAAUUUUCCGAGUGACGACCAAUGUGUCACCCACAAAUCUUGAGUUCAAGAUGCUUCAAGAAGGGUUCGCCCCGAUGCAAAUAAAUGAUAGCACAUACAACCUAAGAACAAGUUCUAUUCAUUGUGUGAACAUGGGUAGGUUUUCUACCUGGUCUCAAAAGGGUCUAUGAAUUGCCCAGUGACGACCUCACGUGAAGGCAGUAUAGGGGUUUACAAGGAAUGGUUGGGGCACCAUGUGACCGCCAUUACCAAAAUAAACACUCAGCUCAUAGUUGGAUGUUUCACAAAUCUGAACCCCGACUGAAAGUCAUGAGGUAGACUGCUACUCCCCACCUAACUUAGAAGCUUGUGUGUGCUUUCAAAAAUAAAUACAAGUGAUGCGUGAAACAAUUCUAAAAAUGCAUGCAUAAAAUAAAGCAAGACAAAAAUAGCAAAAUUUAAACACAUCAAAUACACAAAGCUUAGUCCAAUAUUGUCAGAAACAGUACCUCCCCAGUGGAGUCGCCAUUCUGUUGCACGUCGAAAAAUCCGGCGCGCGGCAAUCGGCUGGCGAUUAUAUGUCUCGUUGUUUGUAUUGCUUGAAUUGGUUCGUUGGGAGUCGCCACCUAGUAUUUAAUUGAGGUUACUAGGAAACCCUGGUGGACUGGUCAUGGUCAGAGAUUUGCGGGUAAGGGACUGAUUGUGGUUAGGGAAGGUGUUAGCACCCCUAACGCACCCUACCUGAGGUAAGCUGCUUCGUGGACUUGAUAUGUUAAAAAAGUUUUAAAAUUUUUGUCUUUUCAUCGGAUUUUAGAAAUACAACUUCCGUACAAGUUUGUACUUCUACACCGUGAUCCAAUCAAAAUAUUAAAUCCUUCUUUAUUCUUUGUUGUCUCAUCAAAAAAACAAUUCAUUAAACAAAUGUAUACAUGCAUCUUUUAUUAUAUAUUUCUUUCUUUUUCUUUUUCUUUUCUUUUAAUUCAAUAACAUACAUAAAAAAAUACAAACACACACAUACAUCUCUUUUUUAUUAUUUUUCUUUUCUUUUCUUUUACAUUCACCUUUACACAAAAUAAAUUCAAAACAAAUAAAUACAAAUUACAUUAAUUAAUUUAAAUUUUACAAAACAGUCCCUAAAAGUCCAGAAAUUGCAUUGAAGGACACUGUCGGAACUGCCUGAACUCGUGGCGGCGCGUGAACCCACGCGCCGCCGCAAACAUGCCGGAAACGGGCGGAUCUGCCCUGUUUCCUCCUCCUCCUCCCUUCUCUGCUGGUGGCAUCCUGCAAAACAAGAAAAAGGAAACGCAGGCAGUUCAUUUUAAUCCAUUUCUGUCCAGUUCUUGGAUUUUUCCUUUCUUCUCCAUUUUGGAUCUGCUUCUUUACAGAUCGGUUUUUUCGUUUCCCCUUGUUCUCUGUUUUAGGCUGCCGGCCGAGUGACCAUAGGGCUGCUGGCGGCGUUCAUGGUGGCUCGCGGGGGGAAUUGCUGCGAUGGAAGAGGAAAUCGUGUGCCACCGGUUGAAGGAGAUGAUGCCAGCGUUGCCCCGGCGCUGAAUCUGUUCGGCCGUCGCUGCUGUGGAGGGAAACCGAAGGAGAAGCAGCCGUGGCUGAGGAGAUCGUGACCUGGAAGGCGCCGGAGCUGGAAGCUAUGGGAAAGAAGAGAAAAAUAAAUCAAACCCGCGGGGAAGAAGAGUUGUGGCUGGUUCUCCGUGGGGAAAGGAGAGUGGUGUUGUUGGUGGGUCUGUGUUGAUGACCGGGCUGUGGAGAAGGAAGGAAAAUGGAGAUGACGGUGGGGAAAUGGUCUGUCUUUGUUUCUGACAGAGGGGAAGUGAGCAGCGUCUUCUCUGGUUUUUGAAAGGUAGGGGAGGCCGUGACUUUUUUCUUUUUUGCAGAGGGGAAGUCGGCUGGAAGGAGAAAGGGGAGAGUAUGGGUUUCAGCUGAUUUUGGCUUUUUAGCCGAGAGGAAGACUAAGGAGACGGGAAGAGGGCUGCCUUGGCUUCUCUGGUUUCGACUUUGAAGAUGAGAGAAAAUGUGGAAAUGGUGAUGGCUUGACUUGCUUUGUCAAGGCAAAAGGGGGAUUCGUCGUAGCCUUUUUUUUUUUAGGAGAAGUGAGAGCGGCUCUGUGUGCAGGCGGCUGUGCAAGGGCUGAGGAGAAAAAAAAUUAAAAGGGGAGCUGGCAGCUGUCAUCGGAGAAGAAGGAAAAAAUUUCCCAAAAAGGGGGGGGCCUCCCUGGCGGCUGUUUUCAGCAGGGAAGAAGAAAAGUUUAGUGUUUUAGGGUUCUCUCCUUUCCCCUAAAAUUACAA
rnacentral:lncRNA from 1 species